GCGUCAAAAUGGGCCGUUCUUGAGGGCGUUCCUUCCUAGUUGGCUUUGGCUGGAGUGGGAAUCAGCUGUUAGCAGGCUAGCUUGUCGUCUCAAAUCUGAGCAUUAUACAUUUCUGUGUACGGUGAACGACCAUACCUAGAACAUUUGCUGAGACGAAGGAAUUCGGCAUAUUCUCUGACUGCAAUGCAGCGCAAGAAUAGCUAGAUCAAGUGGACCGGCAUAAAUAGCCAGUUAGCUGACGCCUGGAUUAGCGUUAGCCGGGUGUAGGGCUAGCUAGCAAACUACGUCUGGUUUAUGAAGACCAGAUUUAUGUUUUUUAACGUAUCAGCUGUCUAGCAGCUUCAGCUAGGCUUUUUAAAACCGAGUAAAACGUGUUGCUAUUAACGGUUAAACCGGUGUCCUAGCGUUGCCAGCCUUUGGAUUAGUUUAGUGGUCAAGCCUGUAUCUGGCCGACGUAUCAAUGCGCUACUCGCCAUGCCUUUGCGCACACGCCCUGAACAAGACAGGGAUUCAACUGUUCAGUUUGAAUUGUGUGUUGUAGAUAUGAACCCCGAUAUGUGGCUGCUACUCAUGUAUUUAAAAUUGAAUGUGUCAUUUUGAGACCAGACAUCACUGACAGUCUGAUGUUAUAGACGAGUGGACGGUUCUUUCAGAUAUCUGGGGUGUAGUCAGUAGUAGGACUUUAGCAAAUUGUUUAAUCAUGGGGGCUACAGUGUCAUGCUGCAUGUCCCCCGGCGGGAGUCCAAAGCUUGCAAGGAGAGCAGUCGAGCUCGACGACUACCCAAUAACCACCACUGGCGACGACGUAAGCGAGGACACGGGCACCUAUCUGCAGCACAUCAGCGAUAGAGAGGUCCCGGAUGAAUUGGCGCAGGAGUCGAACCCAUCCGAUAAUGCCAGAGCCAGCACAAUCUUCCUCAACAAGUCUCAGACUGAUGUGCGGGAGAAAAGGAGAAGUAACUACUUAAGUAAUCAUCACACGUCUCCUGGGUUAUCUAAAAAGUACAGCUCCUGCUCCACAAUAUUCCUUGACGAUAGCACGGUCAGCCUGCCCAACCUGAAGAGUACGGUCAAAUGUGUCACGUUGGCGAUAUACUAUCACAUAAAAAACAGGGAUUCAAACCGUUCUCUGGACAUUUUUGAUGAGAAGAUCCACCCAUUAACGAGAGAGAAGGUUCCAGAAGACUACUACAGCGUGGACCCUGAACACAAGCUCAUCUACCGCUUUGUCCGCACGCUCUUCAGCUCGGCCCAGCUGACUGCUGAGUGUGCCAUCGUCACCCUGGUGUACCUGGAGCGUCUGCUGACCUACGCUGAGAUGGACAUCUGUCCCUGCAACUGGAAGCGGAUCGUACUGGGAGCCAUCCUGCUGGCGUCCAAGGUGUGGGACGACCAGGCCGUGUGGAACGUAGACUACUGCCAGAUCCUCAAGGACAUCACCGUGGAGGACAUGAAUGAGAUGGAGAGGCACUUCCUGGAGCUGCUUCAGUUCAACAUCAACGUGCCGGCCAGCGUCUACGCCAAGUACUACUUUGACCUGCGCUCCCUGGCCGACGACAACAACCUCAACUUCCCCCUGGAGCCACUUGACAACCAGCGAGCCACUAAACUGGAGGUGAGGAGAGCUUCUAGGACGGCAGGAAUGAAAACACUGCUACUUGGCAAGAGGGGAGUUUAAUGGUUGUCCUGGUUGACUUGGUCCUGUUCAGAAACAACCCCAGCCCCUACUCCCCUACUAUCAUGUAGUUACUAAAAAAUUGUUCCCAGGCUAUCUCUGGGCUGUAAUAAGUGUUGUUGCGUUCCCAGGCUAUCUCCAGACUGUGUGAGGACAAAUACAAGGAUCUGGGCAAGGUGACCAUAAGGAGGUCCCUCAGCGCAGACAAUCUGGUGGGUGUCCGAACCACCCACGCCGUGCUGUCCUAAAGCUGGACCUGCUACACACACAGGACAGGCUGAGGAUGCACCGAAGGUCUUCCUAAACUAGACACUCACUGGCACCAUCGACACACACAGCUGGUCCCAAAUCACGCCCAGAUCUGUAUGGUGGCAGCUCCACCACUGAUACUUACUCAUACACUCCAGAUCUGCAAGAAGGGUUGGAGUGUCUGACACCACACACUGACCAUGGUGAGGAAGCCUCUAACUACCCUGUGGUGUAGUUUGGCACACGGACAGAUGGUGAUGUAGGGUGGUUUUCUUUGCUUACUGUGUAGGCCCUUUAGCUGGGAAAUGUAUCGGUUUUUAAUUGAACAUAUUUUCAGUUGCUGUUUAUUUCAAAUAAACCGUAAUAAACUAUCAAAUCUG